UGGCGCGAGUGCUGGCGGGCGGCCUUUUCCGGCCUCUGCAGCAGCGCGGGCGGCGCAGUAGCUGGGGACGCGCGGGCCUGGGCCGAGCCUUGCAGGCUGCAGAACAGUCUGGAAAAGCGCUUUUCUGGGUAAUAGUCCAGGCCCUCAUGUUCUCAUCAGAUAAGUGACGGGCCGCAGAGCUAGGUGAGAUCCGGACUGGAGGCCCUGCUCGGGAAACUGAUGCCGAGCUCGCUUUCCGCAGCGCAGCAGGGAACCAAAGCCUCUUGCCAACAGCCAUGUGUGUGUGCCGUCUUGUGAACAUAUCUUCCAGCCCCAGUCAAGUCUUCCAGUGGCUACAGCCCUGUCUGAGAUCUUGACUGCAAUAUCCAGAACCAUAGCUGCCCAGGAUCUGCUUCUGGGACAUCCAGACGACGAGGUCUAGAAAGAAGGAUCUGCUAAGGAAGUUUCAACUGUGAAGGGGAGGUUUCCAUGAGGCAGAGCCAGGGGCCUUGGCUAACUUACAACAUCAGCAGGAUGGCUGGAAUGAUCAGGCCUGGAUUGGCGAUGAACGCAAAGAUCUUGCCCAGGAAGGUUGGAAAAUCAUUUUCAACGGUCUCUUGGAUGACGUCAUACAUUCUGUUUUUCCCACUGGGAAGAAGAGGACACAUUACAGCAUGCUGCAAAGCUCACACAGCACACGACUGUGUGCACGCCCCUCCCAAAGCUGCCGCUCACUACUGAGCUGGAAGAACCACAGAUCUGCCCCUAAUGGACUGCAAAUAAAAAUGCCCCCCAAGGGGCUGCCCUUUUGUCUCAGGAUUAUAGCCAGGUCAGUGCGCUCACAACUUCUCAAACUACACUGGCCUUCUGCGUCUGACAUCUUAUGGGCUUUCCCCUAUACUCUCAUGGGAGAACAUUGCCUGUAAUAUAGCUAUGGGACCGACACAGCUUCCCAUGCAUGGGAAUAGUUCUCUAAAGGCUGACGUGAUGGGCGACCUCAUGGUGCCUCUUGAUUUUUUACUAUCAGGCUCUUUACAGAAAAGCUUAGCUGAUCCCUGGUGUAGAUAAUACCUCUUACCUCAUAGCAUUGUGAUGAGUGCCAGCUACCCCCAACUUGGUCAGGGCUCAGGCUUAACAAACUUGCUUAUAUGCCUUAUUAUAGACUUGUACACCCCUCUAAGUACUUUACAAAUAAUAACACACUAAAUCCUCAAAACAACCCUAUGAGGUAGGCCCUACUGUUACUUCCAUCUUAUAGGCAUGAACCUGUGGUAUAGAGAGCUAAGAAACUUGCUCAGGAUGACCCAGCUGGCAAUUGACAGAGCUGGUUCUAGAAUCUAUGUUCUAAAUCAGAGGGCUGGCAAUUCUUUUCUGAAAAGAGAUAGAUAAUAAAGAUUUUAGGUUUUGUGAUCCAGAAGGUCUCUGUUGGUAUUACUCACUUCUGCUGUGGUAUGGAGAAAGCAGCCGUAGAGUAUAUGCAAGCCAACAGGUGUGGCUGUGUUCCAAUAAAACUGUGUUUAUAAAAGCAGGUUGGUGGUCUGGAUUU